UCCAAGAUUCUUUAUCGCGGACAGCCCCGCUUGGACGGGAAAGAUGGCAUCAUCAGUCAAAAGAAGCGCCCCGCUCUUCGCCGCCAUGGCGUCCUACACAUGAAAUGUUCGUUAAAAUCCGAUAAAAGAAAUUCCCAAAAGAACAAAUUUCCAGCAAAUCGGUAGGCGAGAAGUUUAAAUCUGCUCACGUGAAAUGAUUCCAACGACUGGAGCCCUGGAAUUCACGAGCGGAGAGGCGGCCGACCCGAGCCGCCCUGACCGACAAACAGUGAAAUCUUUGUCGAGAAGAGAUCGCGAAAGGUAUCGGCACAGAGCCACCAAGAAACCCGUCGCCUCGAGGAGGAAACCUUCUCCAAGGCCUCCAGCUCCUCACGGGCCGGCUUUACCUCCCUCAUUUAUUUAUUUUAGAGGGACGGUGGCGUGGGUUGG
rnacentral:lncRNA from 1 species